GAUGAACGCUGGCGGCGUGCUUAACACAUGCCAGUCGAACGAUGAAGCCCAGCUUGCUGGGUGGAUUAGUGGCGAACGGGUGAGUAACACGUGAGUAACCUGCCCUUAACUCUGGGAUAAGCCUGGGAAACUGGGUCUAAUACCGGAUAGGAGCGUCCACCGCAUGGUGGGUGUUGGAAAGAUUUAUCGGUUUUGGAUGGACUCGCGGCCUAUCAGCUUGUUGGUGAGGUAAUGGCUCACCAAGGCGACGACGGGUAGCCGGCCUGAGAGGGUGACCGGCCACACUGGGACUGAGACACGGCCCAGACUCCUACGGGAGGCAGCAGUGGGGAAUAUUGCACAAUGGGCGAAAGCCUGAUGCAGCGACGCCGCAUGAGGGAUGACGGCCUUCGGGUUGUAAACCUCUUUCAGUAGGGAAGAAGCGAAAGUGACGGUACCUGCAGAAGAAGCACCGGCUAACUACGUG
rnacentral:rRNA from 1 species